UACGUAGGUGGCAAGCGUUGUCCGGAAUUAUUGGGCGUAAAGCGCGCGCAGGCGGUCCUUUAAGUCUGAUGUGAAAGCCCACGGCUCAACCGUGGAGGGUCAUUGGAAACUGGGGGACUUGAGUGCAGAAGAGGAGAGUGGAAUUCCUGGUGUAGCGGUGAAAUGCGUAGAUAUCUGGAGGAACACCGGUGGCGAAGGCGGCAUCCUGGACCAAUAUUGACGCUGAGGAGCGAAAGCCAGGGGAGCAAACGGG
rnacentral:rRNA from 1 species